UACGGAGGGUGCAAGCGUUAAUCGGAAUUAUUGGGCGUAAAGGGUGCGUAGGUGGUUGAAUAAGUUAUCUGUGAAAUCCCCGGGCUUAACCUGGGCAGGUCAGAUAAGACUGUUUAACUCGAGUAUGGGAGAGGGUAGUGGAAUUUCCGGUGUAGCGGUGAAAUGCGUAGAGAUCGGAAGGAACACCAGUGGCGAAGGCGGCUACCUGGCCGGAUACUGACACUGAAGCACGAAAGCGUGGGGAGCAAACAGG
rnacentral:rRNA from 1 species